rnacentral:rRNA from 1 species
CAAACUUGGUCAUUUAGAGGAAGUAAAAGUCGUAACANGG